rnacentral:rRNA from 1 species
GACGAACGCUGGCGGCGUGCUUAACACAUGCAAGUCGAGCGGUAAGGCCCUUUCGGGGGUACACGAGCGGCGAACGGGUGAGUAACACGUGGGUGACCUGCCCUUAGCUCUGGGAUAAGCCUGGGAAACUGGGUCUAAUACCGGAUAUGACUCCAUGACGCAUGUUGUGGGGUGGAAAGCCUUGUGCGGCUAGGGAUGGGCCCGCGGCCUAUCAGCUUGUUGGUGGGGUGAUGGCCACCAAGGCGACGACGGGUAGCCGGCCUGAGAGGGCGACCGGCCACACUGGGACUGAGACACGGCCCAGACUCCUAUGGGAGGCAGCAGUGGGGAAUCUUGCGCAAUGGGCGAAAGCCUGACGCAGCGACGCCGCGUGAGGGAUGACGGCCUGGUGUAA